CCUACGGGAUGCAGCAGUGAGGAAUAUUGGUCAAUGGACGAGAGUCUGAACCAGCCAAGUAGCGUGAAGGAUGACUGCCCUAUGGGUUGUAAACUUCUUUUAUAUGGGAAUAAAAUGUUCCACGUGUGGGAUUUUGUAUGUACCAUAUGAAUAAGGAUCGGCUAACUCCGUGCCAGCAGCCGCGGUAAUACGGAGGAUCCGAGCGUUAUCCGGAUUUAUUGGGUUUAAAGGGAGCGUAGGUUGAUUGUUAAGUCAGUUGUGAAAGUUUGCGGCUCAACCGUAAAAUUGCAGUUGAAACUGGCAGUCUUGAGUACAGUAGAGGUGGGCGGAAUUCGGGGUGUAGCGGUGAAAUGCUUAGAUAUCACGAAGAACUCCGAUUGCGAAGGCAGUUCACUGGACUGCCACUGACAUUGAUGCUCGAAAGUGUGGGUAUCAAACAGGAUUAGAUACCCGAGUAGUC
rnacentral:rRNA from 1 species